rnacentral:rRNA from 1 species
AUUGAACGCUGGCGGCAUGCUUUACACAUGCAAGUCGAACGGCAGCGCGGGCUUCGGCCUGGCGGCGAGUGGCGAACGGGUGAGUAAUGCAUCGGAACGUGCCCAGUAGUGGGGGAUAGCCCGGCGAAAGCCGGAUUAAUACCGCAUACGACCUGAGGGUGAAAGCGGGGGACCGAAAGGCCUCGCGCUAUUGGAGCGGCCGAUGUCGGAUUAGCUAGUUGGUGGGGUAAAGGCUUACCAAGGCGACGAUCCGUAGCUGGUCUGAGAGGACGACCAGCCACACUGGGACUGAGACACGGCCCAGACUCCUACGGGAGGCAGCAGUGGGGAAUUUUGGACAAUGGGGGCAACCCUGAUCCAGACAUGCCGCGUGCGGGAAGAAGGCCUUCGGGUUGUAAACCGCUUUUGUUCGGGAAGAAAUACUCUGGGCUAAUACCCCGGGGGGAUGACGGUACCGGAAGAAUAAGCACCGGCUAACUACGUG